UACGUAGGGAGCUAGCGUUAUUCGGAAUUACUGGGCGUAAAGCGCACGUAGGCGGCUUUGUAAGUUAGAGGUGAAAGCCUGGAGCUCAACUCCAGAAUUGCCUUUAAGACUGCAUCGCUUGAAUCCAGGAGAGGUGAGUGGAAUUCCGAGUGUAGAGGUGAAAUUCGUAGAUAUUCGGAAGAACACCAGUGGCGAAGGCGGCUCACUGGACUGGUAUUGACGCUGAGGUGCGAAAGCGUGGGGAGCAAACAGG
rnacentral:rRNA from 1 species